rnacentral:rRNA from 1 species
UGCAGUCGAGAUGAAGCCAGCUUGCUGGGUGGAUUAGUGGCGAACGGGUGAGUAACACGUGAGUAACCUGCCCUUAACUCUGGGAUAAGCCUGGGAAACUGGGUCUAAUACCGGAUAGGAGCGCCUACCGCAUGGGUGGGUGUUGGAAAGAUUUAUCGGGUUUUGGAUGGCUCGCGGCCUAUCAGCUUGUUGGUGAGGGUAAUGGCUCACCAAGGGCGACGACGGGGUAGCCGGCCUGAGAGGGGUGACCCGGCCACGACUGGGGACUGAGACCACGGGCCCCAGACGUCCCUACGGGGGGGGGCAGGCAAAUGGGGGAAAUAUUGCACGAAUGGGGGGAAAACCCUGGAUG